rnacentral:rRNA from 1 species
CCUACGGGAGGCAGCAGUGAGGAAUAUUGGUCAAUGGACGAGAGUCUGAACCAGCCAAGUAGCGUGAAGGAUGACUGCCCUAUGGGUUGUAAACUUCUUUUAUAUGGGAAUAAAAUGUUCCACGUGUGGGAUUUUGUAUGUAACAUAUGAAUAAGGAUCGGCUAAAGCCGGGCCAGCAGCCGCGGUAAUACGGAGGAUCCGAGCGUUUUCCGGAUUUGUUGGGUUUAAAGGGAGCGUAGGUGGAUAGGUAAGUCAGUUGUGAAAGUUUGGGGCUCAACCGUAAAAUUGCAGUUGAAACUGGCAGUCUUGAGUGAAGGAGAGGUGAGCGGAAUUCGUGGUGUAGCGGUGAAAUGCGUAGAUAUCACGAAGAACUCCGAUUGCGAAGGCAGUUCACUGGACUGCAACUGACGCUGAGGCACGAAAGUGUGGGUAUCAAACAGGAUUAGAUACCCGAGUAGUC